CUGGGCUCGAAAUGCAGUGGACCGGGGUGGAAACAUCCCUUCCCGCAAGGGCUGCUGUAUAGGUGCUGCAUGGCUGUCGUCAGCUCGUGUCGUGAGAUGUUGGGUUAAGUCCCGCAACGAGCACAACCCUUGUCCUUAGUUGCCAUCAUUCAGUUGGGCACUCUAAGGAGACCGCCGGUGACAAACCGGAGGAAGGUGGGGAUGACGUCAAGUCAUCAUGGCCUUUAUGACCAGGGCUACACACGUGCUACAAUGGUAGAUACAGAGGGCAGCGAGACCGCGAGGUCGAGCUAAUCUCCAAAAGCCAUCUCAGUUCGGAUUGCACUCUGCAACUCGAGUGCAUGAAGUUGGAAUCGCUAGUAAUCGCGGAUCAGCACGCCGCGGUGAAUACGUUCCC
rnacentral:rRNA from 1 species